rnacentral:lncRNA from 1 species
UUAGUUUUAUCUUUGUUACCUCUUUAAUCAUAAAUGCUCUUUCAUAAUCAACUUUUUAAUUUCCCUCUCUAUGCUUCGUGUUAGACUUAAUCACAUCAUUGCUUUUGUUACCCAAAAUGGCGGCAUACAGGAGUGGUUUUCACCUGCACUUGUAACUGGCGUUUGAGUAUUGUUGGCACACUCACCGGAAGAAUGUUCCCCUCCCCUGCCCCAAACCUCACAUCUUCAUCCUGAUUAGAUUGAGUUUCAGUUCUGCCAAGGACCACCCUGAAUUUAUUUUUUCUUGAAAGAUGGACGAAAGUGGUCAAGGCUGGUCUACUUCUGAGGCUUUUGAAGGGAACCCGCUCUUCAUUUCUUCCUGGGCAGCUCUUGAGAGCAUCCUUCUAUCACUGCGUUCCAUGGUAGCUCAUCCAUUCUGGUUGUGUUGCUCCGUGUACCCUUCUGCAUGAAAAGUCAUCCUUCUUCAGCUUGUAACAGUGCAGCUUUUAUUUGAAAUAAAAGUUUAUCCUCCGUGGUGGAUUGAAAUGGAAUCAAAUACAAAGAAGUCUGCAGGAUUUUCAUGGGAGUUGCACAGGCUCUAGGGACAACAGCAUGGACUAAAAGGCACUGAAAUUACCCCAAACACAAAGAGAUCUGCAGGCUUCCAGAUUAUCUUGGGGUAGGGGCAGACUGGGAAAUCUACCCAGCCACUGAAAUGGCUCCUUUCUUCAGAAAUCCAGAUGCCACAUAAGGUGAUGGAGAAGAAAGGACAUCUCAGAGUGUGAACCCAGGAGCCAUGCAGACCAGUGGACUGAGGAAUGACUCUGGGGGUCAAUG